rnacentral:rRNA from 1 species
GCGUGCCUAACACAUGCAAGUCGAACGAGAAAGUGGAGCAAUCCAUGAGUAAAGUGGCGACCGGGUGAGUAACACGUGACUAACCUACCCUCGAGUGGGGAAUAACCUCGGGAAACCGGGGCUAAUACCGCAUAACAUCUUCGGAUCAAAGGAGCAAUCCGCUGGAGGAGGGGGUCGCGGCCGAUUAGCUAGUUGGCGGGGUAACGGCCCACCAAGGCCAUGAUCGGUAGCCGGCCUGAGAGGGCGCACGGCCACACUGGAACUGAAACACGGUCCAGACUCCUACGGGAGGCAGCAGUGGGGAAUUUUGCGCAAUGGGGGAAACCCUGACGCAGCAACGCCGCGUGGAGGAUGAAGCCCCUUGGGGUGUAAACUCCUCUCGAUCGGGACGAUUAUGACGGUACCGGAUGAAGAAGCACCGGCUAACUCUGUGCCAGCAGCCGCGGUAAUACAGAGGGUGCAAGCGUUGUUCGGAAUUAUUGGGCGUAAAGGGCGCGUANGCGGUGCGGUAAGUCUAUUGUGAAAUCUCCGGGCUCAACUCGGAGCUUGCAACGGAAA